ACCCUGCACACAGCAGGGGGGUUGAAACUGGAUGAUCAUUGUGGUCCUUUUCAACCCAGGCCAUUCUAUGAAUGUGGGAGAAGUUGUGAUGAAAGAAGGCUUGUGGGUUGAGAUAAGGACGAGGGGAGAACUCGCCAGUUACACUCGAGCAAAGCACACUCAGUGUAGGGAGACUCAUGUUAUUUGUGGUCUACUGAUAACAGGCUUGAGCAGUGAGAACUAAAAGCAAGUAUUAUUAUGUAUACUGUAUUUAUUAUCUUUCAUUCCAAUAUCAUACUUAGUGAAUUGCUCUUCUUCCUUAACUCAUUGCUGCUGUUUUGUUUUCAGGCCCAUCUCCCUGCCUUUCCCCUUUUCCCCCUUUCCCCUCUCCUAGAGCAAGGAUCCACGGGUCCCCUUGCCCCGUUAGUCAUGGAACUGAACCCAAAACUACUGACACAACAACAAAAAAAUACAGAGAAGAAAAUACAUGGAGAGUUUUUCUCUGAGAGACAGAAGUGCUUGCUUAAUCCUGGAAAGAAUCCUGGACCGCUUCCUAUCUGGGAAGCAUCUUGGCAUCAUGAGUGGUUCAGCUCCCUGGAGUUUGUUCUUGAUGCUCCUGGAGAGUGGAGGCUCUGCAAAUUAGCGGCUUACUCAGAAAGGAGAGCGCUGUACUGCAUCUGGAUUGUUAUUCUGCACUGUGAAAGGUCUGGAAAAAGCUUGUGACUCACCGUUUGUUCUCCCUUGAGAUCCCAUGGCCUAGAUGCUGGAAUCUCCUCUCUAAUGUGUGCUUUGUCACCGCGUUCAGCACUGACGUCUUAACGCCAUCUGAGAGAUUUUGAGACACCCCCUCUGGCCUCUAACUGCUCCUGAAAGGGUCCUGGAGCUGCUGUUCCCUACCGUUAAGGUUACUCCACUGCAUCUCAAAAAGCACUGAACACCAAAGUCCAAGCCUUUGCCUUGUCCUGAGGAAGACGUCAUGUGUCAUUCAAGACUUUCCAUUUGCUUACGUGUGGGUAAUGACACUUCCCUGCCUCUAAGGGACUCUGGGAGAGGGCAGAAAGCUGAGUGCAGGCAAGAUGGAGGGCUGUUGCUGGGGUUGCCGCAGCAAAAUGAGGUUUGCUGCUCUCACAGGAACGCGUUGGCACGGCCAACGUUGGGCAGAGCAAAGUCCGGAUUUCUUUCCACAGAUCAGUAAACAUCUCCUGCCUGCCAAAAGCACAAAGUGCACCACAGGAAGAGGCCUGCAGACUUUGCACCCAGCACGUGUGAAGGGCGAUCGUCGGCUCUCUGGGUUUGUAUGAUCCAGAAUGCUUUCACAAAAUGUGGCCAGAGCAGAUAUACAAGUUCCUGGCUGGGACUCAGGUAUUACGACUGUUGGUUUUGGUGGACAGAAAAAGUCCCCUUCUGUUCAUUUAUAAGCUGUUUGAGACUUUGAAAAGCCAGCCCGUGGCUCUGUCCCAGGGCCAAGCCUCGUAGCUGUUCUGGAACAGGCUACAGCAUCUGCUGAAACCCGUGCCUGUGUUGAACCGCAUCCAGCGCUGUCAGCACACAGCACAGCGUGCUGCCAUUGAGGACCUGCAGUGGGCACGUGGGCCUGGCGGGACGGUCCCUGUAAGCUUCCUGAGCUGGAGUGAUUUCAGCCUCCUGGCAUGCGGCCCACUGCAUCACAUGGCUCCAAAACACUCAGAUACGCCAAUGUGCCUGCGGCUGCAGAGGAAGAAGAGGCUGCUGCAGCCAGCUGCUGGAGAUUAGCACCCGUUCCAAACUACAUGCAUAGUUAGUGCCUAAUCCAGACCUGUCAGUAAGGUCUGGGCUAACAUGCACAUAUUUAACAGCGGGGAUUUCCGAGCCUGGAUCACUCUGACUAUAACCUGGCUAAGGAGUAAUGCCACGUGCAAUCAUGCCAUGAGGUCUGUGGGGCAGCAGCAGCCUUUGCUUAUCAUAUGGAAUGAGCUGUUCAUUGUGGGCAGGUGCAAUGCAGCCAGACAUUUCCAGAUCCAAAUACUUACUAUGAAUAUUCCCUGCAGCCUCAGCUGGACACAACAGGCAUGCAGGAUUUUCAGGUCUCAUAUUCCAAUUGUGCCUGGCCCUGGGUUGCUGCUGGUGCCAUGAGAUGGUUUCAGCUUCUCUCUUUCAACCACCACCCUCCUUGCUUUCACUUCAUUGCAUGCCUCUACAUGCUGAACUUCUCAUCUGUGCCUGGGACAUCAGGCAGCAGCCAGACUGUCCCAGUCAACCAAGCCAGAGCUCCUCAUCCUUGUGAUGCAUGGAAAAAUUGAAGUGCUUCCCAUCUGAGAGUAGAAAAUUUCCAGACCACCUUUUUGCUUGCUUUCCUUUCUCUGGAAGGAGGGCAAGAUGUCCCCAGUGUGGGACAAUCCACUGGUGACCCACUGUAAGUCCUUCACACAAACAUGUUCUGGAGUUCAAGAAACAUUUGGACAACACUCUCAGAAACACAGGUUGAAUUUUGAGUGUUCCUGUGUGGAACCUGAGCUCGUUGGAGGAGCUGGGCUUGUUCAGUGAUCUUUGUAGGAUGUUUUCAGGACAAACAUCGGUGCUGAUACAAUCAAGGGGAAAAAAAUGCAAUGUGAAUGAUUAUAAAACCGUGCACGAGUUGGACAUGGGAGUUGGUGCCUGUUUUGGUGAAUUCAGAGCUUAUUAGCAAUGACAAAUGUGCUGGCCACUGGAUGGCAUCAUUGGUACAGGUUUUCUGUGACAGAUUCUGCCUUUCACAAUUACCAUCAAUAAAAUACUUGACAAUGUU